CAGCAGCCGCGGUAAUACGGAGGGUCCGAGCGUUAAUCGGAAUUACUGGGCGUAAAGCGUGCGUAGGCGGCUUCUUAAGUCGGAUGUGAAAUCCCUGAGCUUAACUUAGGAAUUGCAUUCGAUACUGGGAAGCUAGAGUAUGGGAGAGGAUGGUAGAAUUCCAGGUGUAGCGGUGAAAUGCGUAGAGAUCUGGAGGAAUACCGAUGGCGAAGGCAGCCAUCUGGCCUAAUACUGACGCUGAGGUACGAAAGCAUGGGGAGCAAACAGGAUUAGAUACCCGGGUAGUCCCUGUCUCUUAUAA
rnacentral:rRNA from 1 species